rnacentral:rRNA from 1 species
UACAGGGGGGGCAAGCGUUGUUCGGAAUUACUGGGCGUAAAGGGCGCGUAGGCGGCCUGCUAAGUCGGAUGUGAAAUCCCUCGGCUCAACCGAGGAACUGCAUCCGAUACUGGCGGGCUUGAAUCCGGGAGAGGGAUGUGGAAUUCCAGGUGUAGCGGUGAAAUGCGUAGAUAUCUGGAGGAACACCGGUGGCGAAGGCAGGUCUCUGGGCUGACACUGACGCUCAUGCACGAAAGCGUGGGGAGCAAACAGG